rnacentral:rRNA from 1 species
GACGAACGCUGGCGGCGUGCUUAACACAUGCAAGUCGAACGGAAAGGCCCUGCUUUUGUGGGGUGCUCGAGUGGCGAACGGGUGAGUAACACGUGAGUAACCUGCCCUUGACUUUGGGAUAACUUCAGGAAACUGGGGCUAAUACCGGAUAGGAGCUCCUGCUGCAUGGUGGGGGUUGGAAAGUUUCGGCGGUUGGGGAUGGACUCGCGGCUUAUCAGCUUGUUGGUGGGGUAGUGGCUUACCAAGGCUUUGACGGGUAGCCGGCCUGAGAGGGUGACCGGCCACAUUGGGACUGAGAUACGGCCCAGACUCCUACGGGAGGCAGCAGUGGGGAAUAUUGCACAAUGGGCGGAAGCCUGAUGCAGCAACGCCGCGUGCGGGAUGACGGCCUUCGGGUUGUAAACCGCUUUCGCCUGUGACGAAGCGUGAGGGACGGUAAUGGGUAAAGAAACACCGGCGAACUACGU